GGAGAUUCAUCGUCAAAAUAUGUGGUAUUAAUGCUAGUUAUGAUAUGGUAAAUAAUCCUUGUGGUUACUAUACUGUACAUUCUAGUAUUAUUUUUGCCAUGUAUGUCGGCGUGCACUUCUCCUCUAGUAGAACGUCGCGACCCGUUAGGUGUUGAUCUUAUGGCCUGAUUGAUUGCCUCUUUCUGCUUGCAGUUGGAGAUCAUUAGUGUUCCUGAUCAACUGUUUGACGGUACUCGUAUGGUAUUCAGUCGCUAUUAUUAGCGUUAAGGUCAUUACAAGUGCGGUUGAUAUUUGACAGUACGGAUCUAAUGCCGUCGUUGAAAUUAACCAACUGUUGGUGAUGAUUUUCUUUAACUGACUAAUAUACCGGUCAGCGACGCUACUGCUUUGGGUACUUUCAGGACCCGUCUUGAAACACGGACCAAGGAGUCUAACAUGUACGCGAGUCAUUGGGACUUCUAAAACAAACCUAAAGGCAUAAUGAAAGUAAAGAUUGUCGUAUGACAAUUAAGGGAAGAUAGGUUACAUUAAGGUGUGAUCUCGCAUUCCCGGGGUA
rnacentral:rRNA from 2 species